CGUGGCACGUCGUGUAUUGUACGUUCAGCCCGGCCCCUGGAAGAAAAUCCGCUGUUGCCAAGUCGUAUUCUGUGGAUUGAGGCCCCGUUUGUAGCCCCUGCAUAACAUUCUCUUGUGUUCUGUAUAUCUCUACACCACGCCGUACGAUCGCCACCAAGUCACGCUCCACUGUCUUCUCAUUGAGUAUGUGUUGGCAAAUACUAACACAAAUAUGAGAGAAUGCCGUCUCUGGACAUUCCUUUACUUGGGUAUCUUCUCCUUGCUAUAAUUGUCUAGAAACUACUGGGAUGUGAAACCAUCUGCCGAGGAAGUUCAGCUGCCGGAUGAACAUAAUCCAAAUAAAUCGAGAUCAACAUGUACCACAACUACACAAGCUUUGUUGUCAAUACGAGGAUUUAAAAUAUCACCAUUUGAAGCGAUUUCUACUACGUCAUUGGUUUUUACUCUUAAUAUCGUACAGCAUCAGCUAUCUGAUUAGAUUCCGCGAAAUCGUAAAGAUAUUGGUAUUGAAUAUCGAUAACAAUCUUUCAAGUGGUCAACAACACGUAUUUCUCACUAUUCAUCGGAACGGGUUUUCAUUUUUAAUAAUCAUUAUCGCUCUGUUUCUCUGUCUGCAGUAAUUUCAACAUUAAUUAUCCAACUGGAAACUUUCCAUGUGAAUAAUCCGCUGAAAUCACCACUUCCUGCUUUUUUUUCGAAAUGACUCAUAUUUCAUCUUUCGAUUGAAAUUUUAACUUUCACAUAUGUGUACUUGUGCGUUGAAAAAAAAAAGUCGCUUCAAUCUUUUCUCUGUCCUUGUCUUGUUGAUUUUUUUAUAGUUCAUUCCCGAGGCAGAGUCCGCGUGGCAACAGUGUAGAAUCGGAUGGCGGCCAAGGAGUGAGAGAGUGAAUCAAGGAAACGAGAUGGUGCGAUUUUAAAAGAGAGAUAGACCAGUCCCUGUGUGUGUGCCAGCACAUUAUAUACAAGCCCCGCACACAUACAUAUUUCAUAUGCAAUCAAAUAUGUACACAAGUACAACACCAGUGCUCUUUGUAUGGUUGAAACGUGGGACAGGAAACGGCCACACACAGUCAUGAUGUUUGCAUACGUGUGACGCACAAAAUAAACCGAAUGAUGGUGAUAUGCAAUGCAAUUACCAGUACCACUUGGAUCGGUUCUGUGGGAGAGCUGUGGUAUCUGUCCCGCCCAAAUAGGAAAUCCAGUGAUUGAAGGAUUAUUUAUACUUUAUCAUUUCCAGCUGUUUACGUCACGCAUUAAAAAUCAAUAAACACCGAUAAAGGUAACUGGUGAGUGUUAGCACUGUGAACUGGCACAUUUCACUGGAGUUAUCGGCGAGUCCUCCAUACGAACCGCGUUGAGGUUUUCGAAGCGAGAACGAGUGAGGGGAACUCUUGUAAUGGCGUCGAGACUUGGCUUCCCUAGUAUCCGAGGUGGGUAUCGCUGUACAAGGGACCAGCUGCCAUUAAGCCGACGUUCCACCGACGGUCGACGAACGCACGACUUUCUGUUUUCCCCUCUAUUAAAAUUACUCCAAGGAGUCGGCACAUACAAAAUCGGUACAAAGUGAGAAGGCCACGGCAAAAGGACGUUAAGUCGUGACGAAAGAACAAAAAAAUUAGCUCAAGUCAUUAACAAUAAUAAACCCAAGCACUCGAAGAAUGUUAACCGAUGCUGUUUAUUGAUGUAAUGCCUUUAUCGAUAGAUACACUUUUUAUUCUUUUUAUUUAUCGGUUUAGGAUAUUUUCACGACGUUGUAGAGCGUACCGCGUUGGUUUUUCGGCCCGGCGGCCGAAUACACGUAAUAUUUUUUUUGUUGUUAUUCCAAGGGCUCACAGGGGGUUGUAAAUCCCACCCCUUGGGCGUCAAUGCGCUUCCCUACGACGCAGGCCACGUACCCUAUUACAUGAAUCGAUCCAUCCCUCAUAUAACAAGAAGUUUCAGUUUUAUUCCCUAAAUUGGAGCAGCUUCUUACACUUUAGGACAGGGAUGAAUCAAAAUAAUUAUAAUAUGAAAAUUGAUGACUACUUAUCGAAGCCAGCAACGGGCAUUUUAAACUCUCAAUUUUCACUUUGAGAUUAAUCAAUUCUGGGAAAAUAGGAGAUAAGUCAUCGGCUUACUCCAAAGUGCACUUCAACAGGCAACGGACGUUUUCAUUAGAAAAAUUCAUUAUCUCAUUUUACUUCCCUUCCUGGUAUAAUACGUCGUCGUUGCUUAAAAUUAUGCAAUCAUUUUGAUGGUUGAUACAUACAUAAUAUCCCGAGUACUAUUAUCUAUCUAGUAAUUUAGCCAAUGGUAUUGGCUAUAUUUUGGAAAAAAAAUUCGGGUGAAUCAUGAAUAAAAUUAUUACUGCAUUUCCAAUCUAAAUGGAUUUUUUGUAUUUUAGCAUCAAACUGAGUCAACAUUGAACAAUUAUAUAUAUAUACAACUA